rnacentral:rRNA from 1 species
AACGAACGCUGGCGGCAGGCCUAACACAUGCAAGUCGAGCGGACCCUUCGGGGUUAGCGGCGGACGGGUUAGUAACGCGUGGGAACGUGCCCAAAGGUACGGAAUAGCCUCGGGAAACUGAGAGUAAUACCGUAUGUGCCCCUCGGGGGAAAGAUUUAUCGCCUUUGGAUCGGCCCACGUUGGAUUAGGUAGUUGGUGGGGUAAUGGCCUACCAAGCCGACGAUCCAUAGCUGGUUUGAGAGGAUGAUCAGCAACACUGGGACUGAGACACGGCCCAGACUCCUACGGGAGGCAGCAGUGGGGAAUCUUAGACAAUGGGGGAAACCCUGAUCUAGCCAUGCCGCGUGGACGAUGAAGGCCUUAGGGUUGUAAAGUCCUUUCAGCUGGGAAGAUAAUGACGGUACCAGCAGAAGAAGCCCCGGCUAACUCCGUG